UAUUCACUAGUUUGAUAUUGAGAUGUCUAAACUUUUUUAGAAAAAACUCAAUAUUAAUUCAUUUGCGAUAUAAUUAUAUUAUCAUUCCAAUUUCAAUAUCCUAAAUUACAUUUGCUCCCUUAUAUAUAUUGAUGACCGUUGGGCCUCGUUUACCCUAGAGGAGGCCAAGCCCAAAGAAGCAAAAUAGGCCCACGGUUCCAUAAGCCGGUUUUCAGCAGGCCGACCCAACAUUUUAAGCCUUGACUUCAACACACGGGGCAGAUCGGGUCACCCGCAAGCCCAAGUCUAGUAACCAGAAAUCUAGCCUGGUGAUGCGACGUGGUAAAAGAUAGCAGGCCCAGUCACUUCGCAGCCCUGCCUGCAUGUGCAUCGGAAAAAAUUAAAUGGCCGCCUGGCAUGGAGAGGGGUCUGACACUCCCGUACGUAUGGACCUGCUUGACAGAGACAAGUGGCACUAUAGCAGAGAGGCCGUUAGACAUCACUAGCGGACAAAAGAAAAAGAAUAAAAGGAAGGAAGCACCUUCCUUUCCAUCUAAGCUUACAAUCGCACUGUAAACCUUAUUCUCUGAAUCUCAGAACAUCAUAUAUUUUUUUAUCAAAUUUAUAUAUACUAUAUCAUAAUUUAUAUCAAAUAUAAGUAUAUAUAUAUUAUAUCAUAAUUUGUAUCAAAUAUAAGCAUAUGACCACAUAUAAUAAGUAACCACCCAUUAAUUAUUUAUAAACUUUGUAAACAUAUACUUAUCAACUUCAAUAGAAAGAAUAAUGAUCCUAAUCAAAACUUGGUCAAAUUUCUCAUUGUGUGGGUUAAGUGUUUAUUUCAAAGUAUAUAAAGAUUCAAGAAUUUUGUAAACUUUAUUUGAUUCUUCUCUCAAAUUGUACCACAAACUUUUUCUUUCAAAUCUCCAGAAAAUAAAAGUCUAAUUGGUAAAUAAAGUUUUAUACAAUGAAGUUAAAACAAUUAAAUUCGAACUUUUUUUUAAGGAUCAAUAUACAUGGCUUUAGCAAAACACCCCACACUUUUAAUUUUUCCAUAAUUCAUAGGAGUUUUAUCAAUUAAAAAAUAUAUUUUAUUUUCUUCUAUUACAGUACUAUUAAUAUUACUAUGAAUAAAAAUAAAAAUAAAUAAAUGCAAGUCUAUCCUUCAAAAUAAUAGUAUCAGAAAAGCAAUUAUAGGACUGAACGAGUAAUCAAGCAUGUAUAACAAAUAACAAAAAAAAAAAUUAGUAAAUUAGAAAUAAGAAAUAAGUAAUUUCAAUUGACGGAAAAAGAUAUUAAAUGACAUGAGAAAUAGCCAUUUUCAUUUUCAAAUUGAGUCCACAAAGACAACAAAAAUUAAAGAAUUAAAAUUAAAAAAGUUAACAUUGAAUGAGCUAAAGAAUGAAAUAUUAAAAAAAACUCACAUGCAUUGCAUUAAUGCACAUUAAACUAUUGCAAUCAAUAAUUAAUUUUUCUAAUUAACAAAUUGCUAUCUUAUGAUAUAUUCAACAAACAAAAUCAAAUAAAGUAGCACUUUUACUUCCUUUUCAAAACAAAUAUGGGUUGAACAACUUAAUUUCUUUUUUUGUAUCAAUAAUAAUAUAAGAGUGUGCAUUUAUCAAUAAGAAUAUGGAUAAAAUAAUAUUUUUUUUUAAAUAAAUGAAACCAAAAAAUAAAUAUAAAUGGAUAAAAUUCAAGUAAAUAAUAGAAUUAUUAAAUUUUUCAACAAUAGCAGUAUUUGCAAUUUGUAUACUUAAAACUAUUUUCUUAUCCAUCGAAAUUCAGACAAAAUCAUUAUUUUAUUAUCCAAUGCUGUUUACACUAGCAUAUGCAAAUAUGCACCAUCACAAUUGAGAAGGUUUUGAAUUCCAAUUUUAUAGCUAGUCUCAAUAACUAAAACAAAAGAGAAAAAAAUCACAUAAAUCAUGUUUAUCUUCUCAAUUUUGACAUCACACUAUAUUUGGCAACCACUUCAAUAGUAGAACCUUACUUAAUACUUCUCAUAUUUAAACAACAUUUAUCCAGUUUGUGGGCUAUUAUUUCAAGCAUUUCCACUUCAAAUCAUGAUGAAGUGAAAUUCUGCAACUGACAUGUUUAUGUCAAUAUAUAACUCCAAUUUCAAUAAUAAAAAUUAAUUAAUUAAUUUCUCUUUUAAUUUAUAACUUAAGAAAAACUUAGUGAGUUUCAAUGACCAUUGACAUACGGGACGUCCAUAAGAAAUUAUAAAAUAUAAAGAAGAAUAGCUAGCCUAGCUUCUUCGAGAAUUGACACUUUAUAUGGAAUAUGAAUAAUAAGAGAAAGUAAUAAAUAAAUAAAUAAAAUAGAGAAAAUAAGAAUUUUUAUUUUUGAACAAUACACGUAGUCUGCUUACAUACCUUCAGUGAAUGAUGAGGUUCACGUAGCUCUUAAUAAUAAAUAAUAAUAUAAAUUCUAUAAUAACAUAAUUUAAUUCCUAUUAAUAAUCUUCUAUAUUAUCUGAAUAUGCCAUUCACGAUUAAAUUUACUCAUUUAUUCAAUAAUCUACUAGAAGAGUAACGAAUAUAUCUAGAAUCUAGUAAAUAAUUAAGAAAAUAAAUAGAUAUAUUUUUAUAUUAUCAUACCUAUUUAUUGGCAUUAUUUUAUUAAAACACUAAAUAUUAUUAUACACAAUAAUAAAAUUUAUUUGCUGUUCAAAAAAUAAUAAAAUUUAUUCAAACUAUUAUCAAUAUAAUCCAUAAAUAAUUAUUUAAUCUUUUAUUUUUCAUAUUGAAAUCUUCUCUCAAAACCAAGCUAACUCUCCAGCGCAAAACUUGAAUAUUCAGUCCAAAUAAUUAUAGGGUAAAAUUUAAAUACCUAAUUCAUUAGUCAAAUAUAAAUUUUAUAUCAUCAUUUGAUUGUCCAAAUCCCAAUCAAGAUGUUUAAACAUAUUUACAUGGCUAAUAUGCCUAAUUUUUAAAAUAUUAUAUAAUAAUUAAAUAUUGGAUAAACAACAAUACAAUAUUCUACCUCAAAAUAUAAUAUUAGUUCUAUUAAAAUAAUUUAUCUAUCUUAACUAAUUAUUUUUUAUAUUCAAAUUUAACAUUUUUACUUGAGAAAAUAACAAUAACUCUUUAAAACCCAAAUAAAGUAAAUGAAGAAAUAAAUAAAUAUGCAAUUAAACUUGCCGGAUAUAAUAUAUACAAACAUUUUCAAAUAAAAAAUAACACUUUUGACUGCUAAAAAAAGGACUAUUUUAGUGUUUAAUUCAAUAUUUCAAUAUAAACCAUAGCUUUUAGUACCAUAUAUAUAUAUAUAUAUAUAUAUAUAUAUAUAUAUAUAUAUACAUCUAAAUUAAUAUGUAAUAUUCUAACUAUUUUGAUCAUCUCUGUAAUCUAACCACUCAUUCUAAACAUGAGAACCUCGUAUUGGUAAAAAUAGUAAUUCUUAAAACAUCUCUAUAUCUCAUUACAUAAAGGAAUACAUUAAAAUUUUGAAAUUUAAAAAAAAUUCAGCAAGUUUCCCAUUCUAGCACCUAUAAAAAAAAUUAUUAUUACUCAUAAGCUAUAAGUUUAAAAUUUACCAAAUUUUAGAAUAAUAUCCCCAACAUAUCAAAAAUCUAUCAUGCCAAAUUUUAUAAUUUUACAAGCACUUUAACUAUUUAUUUUACUCAAAAAAUAAUAACCCAACACUUUAACAUCUCAAACCAGACAAUUUAUAUUCUACUAUUUAUUUCUUUAAAUCCAACAUUAAAUAAUUAUCAAAUUAAAACUAUAAGUUCUACACAUAUAUUCGAAACAUACUAAAAGAUCAAUAGUGAAAAAUAAUUGAAACUUACCUUAUUGGCCGGAGAAGUUGCUGUCCCUAUAAGCCAUAUUUAUUUUACUCAUAACACCUUUCUUUCUCUCCUUUCUCUCUUUUCUUUCCAUUUUCCGGUUACCCAUUAUUGGCAAGACAUAGUUUCGGCUAGCUCUUUAUUCUUCACUCUCCUCUUUCUCCUCUUUCUCCAAUUUUGU
rnacentral:lncRNA from 1 species